GCCUGGGCAACGGAGUGAGACUCCAGCUUAAAAACACACAGACACACACAUUUAUGAGUGUGUACUGUCAGCCAAGCACUAGGAUAGGUGCUUUGUGUGCAACAAUGAGCAGAGAUGACAGGGCAUCCACACUUGCCAGCUUUGUGGCUUCUUUCUUCCUGGGUGUGCUGUAGGAUGAAAUUAUCCACAUGUGCACCAAGCAUCCUUUUUUACCACAUUGCUAUCUCCCUCUCCACAUUUUUCCUUCUCUAGUCAAUGCCUUCAGGCUGAGAAACUGAGUCUAGAGAUCCUUGCCUUCAGCAGAUCUGUUUCUUCAUGAACGGCACUUCUGCAGGUCAGCUGCAGCUAAUCUUAGUCCAUGAAGAGAACUUGCCAAUGCUUAUUCUUGAGAGAAAAGGCCUGAACUUCAUUUCAGUUGUCCGUUGAGCUAGCAGUAUUGGGGCCAGAAAGUUCUGAAGAGCUGAUAGAAGACAAAUGCCCUUUGAAGUCAUUAUUUCCAACACUAGGUCACCUCUGAUACCCCUCCUAUGCCCCUCCCAUCAACAAAGUCAAGCAGUGCCGUGCUGUACUCCCUACCUCCAGGGAACCUGAGAUUCCAUUUCAGUUUCACCUCCAGCCUUUGCCUGUUUCUAGAAUCUUGUGAUAUAGGGACAAGUUCUCUCAUGGGAUGCCAUGUUUUCCCUCAAAGUAUUCAUUUCAUUAAUGAUCACACUGUGUUAUUAUGUUUUCCCUGUACUAUUCUAUAGAUCAUUUUUAUUAUGUAGAUACAAACUCUUUGAAAUUGUAAUUGUGAAGUACAUACUAUGAAGACAAAUGCAUCGGGCAUAAUGAGAAUGGAUUGCCAAUAAAAGUUGAAAAACAAUGAACCAUUUUUAAAAGCAAACCCUUAUCCAGAGCACUGUCACUUUGAAUGCUUGGUAUAAACGCCACUGGAUGGAAGGAGCUUAUUUUUAGUCUAAUGUUGAUAAAGAUUUGACUUUGGUAGCAUCUUAAUUAUCUGAUAAAAGCCAGGCUCCUCUGCCUUGCUCACCUCUAAUGUCUAAUGCCUUCUGCUGGCAUUAAAAUUAUUGCCACGACUCCAGAGAGAGAAACGAAAGAUAGCAGCGUUGCAUUUCCAAGAUGUGAAUUACAGUUUAAAGAGUCACUCGGUUUUGUUUAAACAAAUUACAAAAAUAAUGGGUUGCCCUUAAAAGGUCUGUUUCAUAUAUUGUUAUCCUUCACUUGUGACACCCCUGACAGUGUCGUUCCCCACAUUAUGUCUCACUUUUGUCGCUAGGGGAAAAGAAUGGUUUCAGGGGGUCUUCUCAGUGGUUUUUUUUUUUUUUCUCACUUUGUCCCUAGUUCUGAAGGACAAAGAAAGGACAAAGAGAAAAUGAGCCAAUGGCCUAUGCUUUGGACACAAGGUCAUACAUGGAGGGUGUGCUGACGACUAUAUUGGUUGACUGGUUUGUUGGUUGGUUCGUAGUUGAUUGGUUGAUCGAUUAAUUGAUUGACAUACAUUUGCCACCUCUAAAAUCACACAAGGUUGAGGGAGUGGAAUGGGGCCCAGAAAUGGAGAUGAGGAGUCCCCUACAGGACAGGGAGUGUUCUUAGACAUAGGGGGGAAAAGGAAGGGGCAGACACAGACCUCUGCCAAUUUAGGGGCAGUGAGACACAGGGAAGCCUGACAUGGACUCGGUCCUUGGCUGUAUGACCUUGCCCAGAUCUCUUCACCCCUCUGGAUCUCUAUGUCUUAGUCAAAAGAUGAGGAGGCUGGACGGGGCAGUGUCUGACGUUGCUUUGCCUUUGAUGUUUCAUGAGCCUCUGGAGGCUGGAAGCUGUGAAGCCACCAUUCCAUGCACAGACAACUGGGAUGCUUAAUUCUGAAAGCCACCCCUCUUGAAAGGAAAAUGUGCCAGUUUAAGUAUUUGAGGAAACAUUCUGUAGGGUUGACCCAGUUCCCACAUUAAGAAAAUAAUGCCUAGGCCCAUAUGGCUAAUUCCUUCCCAAACUGUUUGUUUGCCAUCAUGCAGACCUAUCCUGAAAAUAAAGCGUCUAGUCGAGUUUCAGAAUCCAAAUGGAGCAGAAUGCAAAUGAGUGAGAUAAUGGUGAAAAGUACAUUUACUUUGAAAAUUCCUCCGGGUGCAGUCAUCAGCAGCGCAGGCACCAGCAGUGUUGAUUUUUAAACUACACUGUUUCAUGAUUUGAACUUCUAAUUUUUAUCCUGAAUAAGAGGUGCCUUUUGUUGCAAGGCUUUCCCCACUCCAUUCUUUAACUUUUUCACUUUGGCAAGCACCUACCCUUGUAAGCAUGGUUGGAGAGCUGAAAUAUCAGAAUUUUCUGCUGUGUCUCAAAGGAAAGGACUUUUGACCCCACUGUAAACCAUGACCAAGGCUGGGGGAGUUUAGGAGGGUUUCUGAGACCAGGUAGCCAGUUAACUCAGAGUCCUUUCUAUCUAAUGCUAGUGGGGGAUGAGAAAAUGAGAAAAAAAUGAAGGCUUGGCAAAUGCUAUCAGGCCAGAGGGUUUCAUUUCAGUAAUGGUUGAGGAUAGGUGCCCUUGUAUCACCUUAGUACCUCAGAUCUGCACAGGAAGGGGAGAUGCAAAGAUGUGGACAUUAUUGGGUUUGUCUUGAUGGUGCAAACCAUCAGGCGAGAGAGAUAGAAUUCUUAGAAAAAAAUUAUUUUCACAGGGAAGUUAGAAGUGGAAUAUGUGGUCUUGCUGAUUGCAUUAACCUUAUAAUUCCAUACUUUGGUGUUCUUGUACACUAGGUAGACAGUUACUGCUUCUUUGCCUGAAAAAGCAUUUUUGUCCAAGCAUCCAGUCAGCCAGGUGAAGGAUACUAUUGCUCAGUGUUUGAAUGAGGCUGGACAGAUGCCUGGACUCCUGGUCACCUGGAGGAGGCUCAUCUUUGUGGACAUGGAGGUGUUCUGGACACCUGUGUGCAGAGUGUUGACUCACCCACUCCUCUCCUUAGCUUUAAAUACAUUGAAAAAUAAUUUUUCAUGAGCUGGUAAUUAUAUGAAAAUUGCUUUUGCUUUAAACAAGAAUUAUGCUUGACUCUUUUGAGCAAAGAGAAAAAUGCACAAAGGGAAUCAUUAAUUUUGAAUAAAAACACAUACUUUCCUGCAGCCAACAAGGGAGGGAAAUGUGAAAUUGGUGUUUUCUACAAACAGCCCAGCAUUGCUCCCCAAUCUGUUUGCUUGAUCUAUUAUCCAGUCACCUGCAAAGUUGAAUGUCUUGUUUGGCCUGAAUCUGACUUUUAUUCUUUUCCUACUACCUAUUUUUUAAGGACUGUGUUAUAUGCAUACCUCAACCUUCAUUUGCAUCACAUUAAAGUAAAACAUUUUAAAUUUCUUCACAGCAGAAGUAAAUCUGACAGACUUUAUGAAGCUAUUAUACCUGCAGGUAUUUUAUACUUUUAAAAUACAUUCUUGUCAAGCUAUCUUAAUUAUAUUAUUAUAUGUACUUUUGAACUUGUAUUCGCUAUUCCAUGAUAUAUUACACUUUUGACAAAGCCGUCCUAAAAAGCUACAAUUUAUAUCAAAGUUAUUUGGCUGAACAAAGAUGUAUCUGUUAUGGACGCUGGGAGAAUUUGUUAAUUUCCAUGCCAGAAUGUGUAACCAUUGAGGGAGCAGGCCGCUUUAAUUUUCUGUCCAAGUGACGAUGGGAGGAGGACUUGACCUCCAGGCUGCACAUAAAGUAGCACAGCUGGUGAACAGUGGCCAUCACUUAGAUGCCCGGGAGGCCUGCUCCCAGAGCUGGGUUACCUUUCAAGCCCCAGUUGUCGUGAGUAUUAUUCAACACACUAAGGAAAUGGAGAGCUGAUCAGUAUCUAAUUUACUGUCUCAUUCAUAUUCAGCACCAUUCUGGCAGCACAGAGCAGGAAAGUACCCACACUGACAAAGAUGAAAACAAGACCAGGGUGGGUGGGAUAGAAGGGAAACAGAGAAAGAAAAGCUAGACACUCUGGAGCAUUUUUUCAAAGAUAACAAGGCCUGAGAUCCCCUAGAGGGACUGUUUGAUAUAAAUGAUGCAGGUGAAGUGAGUCCCCAAAUUGGGGCUUAGUCCAGGAGGGUUCUUGGCUUCACCCAGGAAAUAACCCACUGGGGAGAUUGUGGUGAAAUAAAUCAGUUUGCAACCUUAUUGAAGCGGCAGCAUAUAGCAGCAGCAGAGAAGAGGCUCCUUGCUGAGCAGGGAUACCCCUUAAGCCCCAUGCCCGAGCCCAGAGUAGCAGCAUAUGGGCUGUUGACAGCUGUAUUUAUACCCUCUUUUAUUUACAUGCAAAUUAAAAGGUGGUGUAUUUAGAACUUUCCAGAAAAGGGGCAGGGAGUUUCUGGAACCAUAUAGGAUAAUUUUCAGGUCACUGCCAUGGCAUAUUGACGUGGCAUUUGUAAAGUGUCAUGACACUAGUAGAAAUAUCAUUUAUAUUAAUAAGCAGUGAGGAUGAUUAGGGGUCACUUUCAUCACUGUCUGCUGGGUUUGGCCAGCUUGUUCACUGUACCUUGUUUCUACCAGAUCCUGCUCCAGUCAGCAAGAUGACAACCCAGGCUGUGACCAGCGCUGUGAAAACAAGUCAUGCUGAUUUCCUACCUCAUAGCCACUGUCUGCAUUAACUGCAAAGUCCAGGAAAUUGUGGUCAAAUAGGAGGAUAUCCAGAGUCACUCCAGACUACACCUCUUCUUCCACUCCCUGAUGGCAGGAUGUCCUAUAGAUCGUGGAAGAACUUUGCACAAAUAUAAGGCCUUUGAAGGUUCAGAGAGGGUAAGUGACAUACCCAAAGUCACACAGCAUAAUGUAGCAUGAAAUAGGACCUAAACAACCAAGCAUGCCUACCAUUUGUGCUGAGGGCCUCCUUCUUGAUUUUCUCUCAAAGGUGGUCCUGCAUGUCCCUCCCCACUCAGACUUAGAAAUUCUUUCUGAGUGGUGAGGAAGAGUCACCUGCUUUUGCUUAUUUUUUCUUCCAAAGAAUGCACAAGUCAAACCCGGGUGUCAGAGCAGACGGCAGUAUCCUCAGCAUGCUUUGAGUGGCAGUACACAGCUGUUAGAGGGAUGAAUUGAUCCGGAAGAUUCCUUUUGGACUGUGUUAGGCAUCAUCUGUUCCUUUCAUCAAAAGAGGCUCCAUGGAUACUCUUGAUGUGUGCCCCUGGCUCCGGAGCCCACACUGAGCCAGCUUCCAGGGCUUGGCAGACCUGCUUGUCUGGAGCAAUGAGCUCCAGGCCUCUUGAGGCCAAGUAGAACAGUUUUGGUCCAGUCUCUCUCUAAGGUAGGCAGAAAAUUCCUGUGCAGGGAUCACAGUGCCAGGUCUCACCACAUGCAGAAGGGCCCACAUCUACACUGGAAGUGGGGAACGGCAGUGCAGGAUCUGUGCUCGGGUGGCUGUUCUCCCCUGUAAUGGCCAGAGCUGGGUAUGCCUCACGGCCUCUUGGACUGCUGCUCACAGUAUCACUGCUGCCUUCCCAGAUGAGCUGUGCAAAUAGAUGGCAGCCAUGAGUGGAAUUGGACAAAAGCUUGGAAGUAGCUUCUGUCUGUCCAAUUUGGGACCUGCCAAGUCUGGCAUGGUGAGGGCAUGGUGGAGUCAGGAGGGGCCACUAUGGAAUCCAGGCCAGGAAGCUGCAUUCUACUGAGUCAUUUACCUCUCACAAGGACCUGCCUUUCAGGAGACCUCCAUCUCUAAAGACCAGGGAUGGAACCUUCAAGGAGAGCUCUCCAGCUCCUGUUUAGCUCUUCGGUUCAGACCCACAUGGGGAGCCACUUAAUAGGAUGGGGUCUCCAGCCAUCCACAGCAUUGGAAUCCAGCCUGGCUUCUGCACUGCCUUUCAUACUGCUGUCCAUGACAAUCUCAGCUGUCUUAUAGAUCGGCUGUGGAGGACAUGGCAUGGGCAGCCCUGGCAUCUUGAGAAGGGUGUUCAAUGUGGUCCCUGGCAGAAUAUGAGCCUGGGGCAGACAGGCUGUGGCUUUAGACCAUGGACAGAAGCCCCUGCCCCGGGACAUAACCCCCUGUGCCCCAUGCUUGCCCACACUCACUCCUGGUCAUUCAUCACAGUGCUCAUGGGCCCCUGUUUCAAAGGAAGUACCAGCUGCGCAUGGACCUGAUGAACUUUACUCAAGAUUAGAGGACUGCUUAGGGGCAUUCGAAAUGAAUUGUGGAAAGGACAUUUGUGAGACCAUGUGAAAGGUCAAUCAGGGUUGGUACAACAGGAUAAAUAAUGAAGCCAUUACGAGGUUCUACUGAACGACUGUGGCUUUGGGAACUGAACUUCACCACUUUGGAAGCCAGAGAAAGGCACUGGAAAUAGCUUGCCUUUACACAGAGGAAUGUUUUCUCCUGCUUAACUGGAUCCAAUUAGAAAGUGAUUCACUGAACAUUUAUUCUGUGUGAGGGUCUUACAGCAAAGACAGUGUGGCAAUGCCCCCGCUUUCCAGGACUUUACAAUCCUAGCUGGGAGUGGGGUGAGGUGGGGGUUGGGUAAGUUAAACACUGUGAUCAGAACACCAUGAGGUGGAUGCAGCCAGCUCCCUGUGAACACAGACGACGUGGCAGGGCUGGGUCUAGAUGCCGGGAAUAGGUCCACCUGGUUUACUAGACUUGAGCUAGACUCAUGUGUGCAAUUAGAGGAAUUCAUCUAUUCACCAAAUAUGCAUAUCACUUCAAUUAUUAAAGACUACCAUGUCCUACUUUCAGUCCCCCAGAAAUAGACCCUGCAAUUCCAGUGCCAGUAGUUCAUGUCGGAGGUGAUCCCUGGAGACACUGCAGUUGAGUGGGAAGGAGACAGGCAGGAAGGGAGACAGGCAGGGAAGGUAGCUCACAACAGGCUCCUUAUCCAGCGAGUCACAUGUAUGGCAGCCAGGUCUCAUCAUGUAUAGAAGAGCUCUCAAAGCCAUCCCCACCCAGGGGCAAGGAAGCCAGGUGUUCAUCCCCCACCUCCCUCUGUCAUUGGCUGAGGGCUGCAUUUGAAUCAUUAACCUCACAGGGAUUCUGCUAGGAAAAAAUAAAGCCCUUAGGCAGAGGGUCACCCAUGUUCACCACAAACAGCUUUUUCUAUGUAGAUGCAAUGGACUGAAUGUUUAUGCCCCCCCCAAAAUUCAUAUGUUGAAACCUAGUCUCCAAGAUGAUGGUAUUAGGGGUAUUAGGACAUGGGGCCUUUGCAAGGUGAUUAGGUCAUGAGGGUGGAGCCCUCAGAAAUGGGAUUAGUGUGUUUAUAAAAGAAACCUCAGGGAGCUCUCUUGCCCCUCCCACAAGUGAGGAUACAGCCAGAAGGGAGCUGUCUAUGAAGCAGGAACCCUCUCCAGACACCUAACCUGUCAGCGCCUUGACCUUGGACUUCCCAGCCUCCAGAAGCAUGAGAAGUAAAUCUCUGUUGUUUAUUAGCCACUCAGUGUGUGAAAUUCAGUUAUAGCAGCCCCAAGCAGACUGCCAAUAGAGUUCAAUGCUGCUAAGAGGAUAAGAAAGGGCACUAACAGCAUCAAAGACAAUAAUAAAUAAGGAUAGGCCCCUACCUGUGGAUGGAAUCCAGGCUUAUAGUAGAUGACACUCUUACACUUUACCCUCCUGACCAACCUGUAAGAAAGACUGAGCAAGCAUCAGAGCUUAGUAGUUGUCAGGAGUGGCAGAAAAGGCUAAACAAAUCCCAGCCCCACCAUUACACAGUCACCAAAGAGGGAAGGCUGUGAAUCAGGGGAAAUUUCCUUCUUUCAGCCCUCCUUUUCUUUCCACCCAGGGCAAUGGUGCCCUCCCUCAAAUUUCCACCGGCUACACCUUCUCCUGAGCACUCUCCAGCCUUACUUCUGACCAAGAUUGAUCUAUGGGGUCUCCUAAUGCCCUUACCCACACUCUGCACCACACAGCCACGCCCUUGUCAAGGGCUGCCCUGCUGAACAGGCUGUUGCAGCUUCUCCCAACCUGAGCAUUGCCACCUUCGUAACAGGAAUGUUUAUCCUUCUCUCUCACCCUCCAUGUGUCUGGUAUGCUAUAGCACAUGCUUAAUAGACAUCUGACUAAUGUGAAGUAGUCCAAUACGAGACUCUCCUAAAGACAAACUGGUUAUGCUCUUCCACUCAUACUUCACCCUCCCCCCACCCUGCCCCCAGUCGUCCCUGAGAGCUGUAUUACUCGGACAUUUCCGUAAUGGGAAGAGAGAGAAGUGCCCAAGUCUGGGAGCUGUCUGGCCAAUCAAUGAAUGAUCAAGUUUAUAUUGAAUGCCUAUUGCAUGUCUAGCUCUGAGGUUAGGUGCUGCAGGGGAUACAGAUAUAUAAGACAUGUGUGGCAUCCGUGGGGAGUCUACAGUUUUAUUGCAGCACUAAACUCAAACCUAAAAAUCAAUUACCUUAGACGUAACACUGGACUGAGCGGCAGUAAAGAUAGUGGCUAAAGGCUCAUAAAAAAAGGCAGCAAGUCUGGGUUCAGAUUCUGGCCAACUUAGAUCCUAGCUGAAUGUAGCUUUAACUAGGUAUCCAAGAGAGGCUGUGCCUUCCUUUCUUUCACCUGGAAAUAUUAACAGUACAUCACGAUGGGGGGGUGGCACUCAGUAGUCAUUCCAUGAAGUGUGUUAGUGUUAUUAACUAAUACUAGUAUUAUCUAGUAUCUAGUCCCAGUCAUUGCUGACUUGAAGUGUUAUGGAAGUUUGGAGAAGUGACUCAUCAGAAAGGGCUGGUUUCCUUACAGAAAGAGUAACAGAUGGAGUGGGUGUUAGGUUGGUCCUUGAAAGAGUUUUGGAAAUGGGAGAGAAGAGAAAGAACAUUCCAAGCUGGAGAACAGCCGGAUGGGAAGCCUGAUGGCUAAGGCAGGCCGUGUGUACAACCUCGAGGCACCCAGACCCACUGGAGUCCAGGUGAUGAGAGGAGAGUCCUGGCACAGGUCCUGAAGACCUGCUAUUUAAACAGCAGAGUUUCCUUAUCCCCAAUGAAGGCCGUGCCACAGGGGUGUGGCUCAUCUUGUCAGUGCCCUGCUGCUCAAACCCCUAGCGGAAGCAGGUGCACUGGCAGGUCAUGGGGAGUGUUUUUGGCCUCUGACCCCAAGGCAGCAUGUAGGGUUGAGUGUUUACAGCUCCUGAAGCCCCACUGGGUGUGUGACACAGUGUGCUCUUUCAGUUUUGCCAUCUGCAGGCAGCUUGUUAAUCAACUCAAUUAGACCCUCUGCCUUAUCGCAAGGACAGAGGGCUUUCUGUAUCACGAGUACUUGCCUUAGUGUACUGGAAAAAUGAUAUCACAUGUGGGCUUCAGGAUGAGUGCAAGGUUUAUUGAAGGGAGGUAGCUCUCAGCAAGGUGGGUAAGGAGGCCACAAGGAGAAUGGAGUGGGAAGAUAGUCUUCCCCUGGAGUCCGCCACCCAGUGAUCAGACUCCUCUGGCCAAAUUCUCCACCUCGGCGACUGCAUCAUUCUUGUUCUACCCUUGAUGGCCUGCCAGUGUCUGCCAGUGGGUUCUUCUGCUGGUGUGUCCCUCCUGACAUCCAGCUGCUUCUCUGUGUGCCUGCUAGGGUGUCUGGGUGUUUGUUUAUAGGCACAGGAUAGGGGCCGUGGCAGGCUAGAGUGGUCUAGGAAAAUGCAACAUUUGGGCACGACAGCAGGAGUGGUUUUCCUCACUUAGGUCCGUGGGCACAGGCCUGAGGGUGGGGCCUUCACCAGGGACCCCGCCCUUCUUCCUGCACUUCCCUGUCCCCCUCCUAUAUCACUAUCACUGGGAAGGAGGGAGUCCAUUUUCCCUGGGAAAAGGUGUUAGGUCCUUUGCAGCAUGAUAACUGAGUGGUUUUGAGAAGAUCACUUUUAUAGGGGUGCAGGAUGGAUCUAAGUGUGAGGACCUGGGAACAAGGAGACCAUACACAGGCUGUGGGGAGGCAGCCCUCCCUGCCUGGCCAGGUCAGGUGGAAAGGGAAGCAGUAGCUCCCUGCAAGAUAUCAACCACUUUCCUCUCCUUUUCUUCCUAACUUUGGCUUCUGCAUAGUGUUUAGGAAAACCCAAUUGACUUCUCUCCCCCAUCACCCUCCUAGGGUCCAGGUCCAGAUACACAAUGGAAGCAAACAUAUUUCUCUUUCUUCUCCUUCUGCGCUCCAAAGACACGCUGACACUGGUAAAUCAUUGUAGCAGGCUUUAAAUGAUGUAUGAAAUGAAGAAUCCCUUCCCUGUGUAUUGGGAGUCUCCUGCCCAGCAAUGGGCUGUGUCUACUGGGCUGGCUACUGUAUUAUUUAGUGCAGAGGAGGCAGCCAGAAACUCCGUGGAGGUGAGAAGCUUGGGAUCACAAAGAAAAACAAAGUUAAAAUUAAAAAAUGAAAGUAAAACUAUGUUCUGAAACAUAUACAAGUCUUUUUCCCUGGCUCUCACCUUUAAAAAAAAAAAUUCUGCUGAAGUUUUUUGGAAAGGAAAACUUAUUUUCUGUACUUCUUUGUGCAUUUUUCUCCCACCCAAGUCCCUGCUGUCAUUCCUUAACUUCAUGAAUAGACAGAAACAGAGACUUUGUCAAUCCCUUCAGGGUCGUAUACGAUUGGUCAUGUUUCUGCACGUUUCUCGAAGACCAUGUUCAGUUGAGCCUCUUCCUUGUGGGUGUUCAGGACGCCUAUUGCUGAAUCCAGUGUGCAGGACCUCCAUGAGGGACUUGCCCACCUGAACUCCUCACCCCACGGGAUUCUGCUGUGGUGGCCCUGCAGGGUGUGCAGGCACUGGGGCAUUACUGCUUCGAUAACCUGAGUCUGCUUUAAGAAGCCUACCUGACUUACACCACAGUAUCUGCUGAUCCCAGACUAAACACAUCAAUGACCCGCCCAGCAAACUCUAUUGGUACAGAAAGCAGCAGGCAGCCUGGACUCAGGGCAGCUGCCUCUUGCACAUCAAACUGAGCUACAAAUAGACUGAGAGCCUUCUUAGUCUGCAGGGAGGGUAAGCUUGGUCAAUUUGCUUUUAGCCGAUGAAAUAAUCAUUGACGUUUAGACAGACUUCUAAUCUUGGCUCGGAACAGUCAAGAGGCAUUUUAGCUACAGAUGGUAAAUGGGCUCAUACAGGGAUAUAUUUAGCAAUGUGGCCUGGGGACAGAAGAGAAAGAGGCCUUGGAAUCCAGGAAACUGGUCCAGCUGGAGGCACCUUGGUGCCUAGAGGUGAGUCACAUAAUUCCCUGAUCCUUAUCACAAGUGCCCCAACUAUGGGUGGGUUCAUGCACAGGUGCUUGCAGGGAGGGGCGAGGAGGAGUUUUCUGCUUGAUCUGGCAUUGGAACCAUGAACAGGACAUGUACUCUAUUCACACCUAAGGCCAGUUGGAAAACAGGCAGGUGAGCAGAAGAUAGUGGAUGUGCUGCGUGGGAAGGACGGCGUGGAAUAUGCGAGAUGGAGAUGGGGGAUCCAAAGGAGCUCACGUGGUCUGGAUUUGAAUACUAGCUCCGUCAGCUUUAGAGGCAUGCACUCAAGGCUAUUUAUUUCCCCUCUAUUCCUCAGUUUUCUCAUCUGUAAACAAGGAUAAUUCUAUACCAAAUGCAUGGGUUUAUAGUGAGAGAAAAAUACGUGUGAAGCACAUAGUGCAAUUCAGUGUAGGUUACUACUUAGGGAAAAAGAUGAAGCAGUUCAUGCUUAAUUCAGACUGGAGUCUAUGAAAUGGAGUCUACCCAAGACCAGUUCAAACACAUAGCUCGAGUCUUAUAUUUGCUGCUAAAAGGAGUGGGGCAAGGCACCUUCCCAGGAAAUAAGAAUUCCAGAACUGUGCCACUGCCCACACCUCUGCAGUGUGACUGUCACGGGUCACCAUGGCCAGGUAGACAUACUACAAACCAUGCAGCCCUCCUGGUCCCACACCAGGCUUUCUCAAGUUUCACAGAGGAAAGAGGAGGGGAGAUGCUCCUUUAUCAGCACCCUUGGAAUUAUUUUGGAAGCCACCGUCCCCUCAUGUAAGAGGCAGAGAUUCUGGGAUGGACUGAGGUGAUGGAUUUGAACUUCAGCACUCAAAGUUCCUUGUGAGGUUCAGUUUCCUUAUCCCUAAAAUGAGAAUAGUAACUCUACCCUCUCACCACUUCACAUGAAAAAUAGACAAGGAAGGGCUUUUAUAAAUUUCAUCAUGCUCUACACUUUGCAGUAUAAAUUGUCUGGUCAGACGCUCUCUUCAGCCAACUGUUCAACUUU